GAGAGGAUGGCUGAAGUUUAGGCGAUAGAUUGUAAAUCUAUGUAUGAAAGUGUUUUCUCUUCUCA
rnacentral:tRNA from 1 species